rnacentral:lncRNA from 1 species
CUAGGAGAACCGAAAACAGUUCUAGACUGACCUGCGGUUUUAUAGCACUUUGGCAGUCAACUUCAGCUUGUGUCAGAGCAGACAUGACAGAGCUGCCCAACGCCUAAUCGCGGGACACCGCCUCCUCGGACUCACUGCAGCCCCCCUCCACCCCCCCAACCCCCCCCCUUCCUUCUUGCAUUUCAAUAAAUUUCAAACCUUGGGGCUAGAAAUGGGGAGCAGAGCUG